rnacentral:rRNA from 1 species
GCAAGUCGAGGGGUAUAUAGAAAGCUUGCUUUUUAUAGAGACCGGCAAACGGGUGCGUAACACGUACGCAACCUACCUUGAAGUGGAGGAUAGCCUUGGGAAACUAAGAUUAAUACUCCAUAAUAUCAUAAUGCGGCAUCGUAUAAUGAUUAAAGAAUUUCGCUUCAAGAUGGGCGUGCGCCUGAUUAGAUAGUUGGUGAGGUAAUGGCUCACCAAGUCAACGAUCAGUAGCUGAUGUGAGAGCAUGAUC